CCGAUAGAAAUUUAAAAUCUAAAACAUAAAGCUGCAUUUCUCAAGGUUAUUGAAUGGCGAUGAUGUGUUUUGUGUGGCUGUAUGGAACAGCUAGCAUGGGGGAUGCAAGUACUGACAAUGAAUUUAGGAUGUUGUGGCACCGGCCGUCCAUGUGAGCAAUGUCAGGGAAUGAUAGUGGUUUUUUCCUUUUCCUUUUUCUUUUUCUUUUUCUUUUUCUCUUUCUUUUUCUCAUUGGGAAAGAAGCACUGUCUAGCAUCGAGAGCAAGCCAUUCAUGUCCAAAUUGAUGUGUUUUACGUCGGAAAUUAUUGUUUUAUAUCAUCAGUUAAUUGAUUGAAUGAUAACUAUUUUACCUUUUUAUGUAUUUUAAAUCGAAGAAUUAUGCAGGUAACUAUUUUAUAUUAAAGAAGGGAAGCAUGUUCGCAGC
rnacentral:lncRNA from 1 species